GAUGAACGCUAGCGGCAGGCUUAACACAUGCAAGUCGAGGGGUAUGCCGAUUUAUCGGCAGAGACCGGCGCACGGGUGCGUAACGCGUAUGCAAUCUACCUUUCACAGAGGGAUAGCCCAGAGAAAUUUGGAUUAAUACCUCAUAGUAUAGCGGUUUCGCAUGAAACCACUAUUAAAGUUCCAACGGUGAAAGAUGAGCAUGCGUCCCAUUAGCUAGAUGGUAAGGUAACGGCUUACCAUGGCUACGAUGGGUAGGGGUCCUGAGAGGGAGAUCCCCCACACUGGUACUGAGACACGGACCAGACUCCUACGGGAGGCAGCAGUGAGGGAAUAAUUGGACAAUGGGCGGCAAGCCUGAUCCAGCCAUGCCGCGUGCAGGAUGACGGUCCUAUGGAUUGUAAACUGCUUUUGUACAGGAAGAAACACUGGUUCGUGAACCAGCUUGACGGUACUGUAAGAAAUAAGGAUCGGCUAACU
rnacentral:rRNA from 1 species